AGAUGAUCUUGGAGAUGGUAAUUUGCCACAACCUUGAAGGAAACUUCAUGACUGAAGAGAUUUGUAUCUUUCUUGGAAAAAGGCAGGGCAGGCAUCGGAUACAUUGGUCAAGAGGAUGCUAGCUGUUGUAACAGGGAGAUCCUGAAAUCACAGCCGCUUAAUUCAAUUCCUCAGGUGUGUCCCCUCGCAGAAGAAGGAGGCCAGGUGUUUCCCUGUCAGAACUCUGAGCCUCCUCUCCAAACCAGGGGAGCAGUUCUGCCCCCUUUCCCUCUGCUCCCACCCGUAACCCACCCUGAAGCAGCCCGAAGGACGGGGAGGGGAGGAAGACGCAGGGCUGCGGGGAGGAGCGACACCUGCCGCUCUCCAGGGGUCAGCCUGGCCCUCCCUGGGCUCCGUGGGGGCAGAAGUUCGUCUUGGCUCAGAAGCAGAUGCGGGGUGGCCGCGGUCCCCGCAGGCUGGAGACGGGCCAGCAGCGCCACCUGCCUUCCCUCGCGGCCACAGACACAGGUGCACCUGCUAGGCUCGCAACUGCCCCGGUGUCUGAGGAGCCAGGUCCCCACCUUGUUCCUCUUCACUGGAGACACACAAAAGCCUCCCAUCUGCACAGUGAAAAGAACAGCCAGGUCCUGUUUCCAGUCAAGCCAGAGGAAGCAUCUCUGGGGCAACCCAGGGGAGCAUGGGCGAGGGCGCUGAACCCAGGCAGACCCACCUGCAGAGGCCAGGUGUGCGUUCAGCCUGCCUGGGGAAGCAAGGCCAGCUGGCAGCUGCUGUGAAGCUGUCCUCAAAGUGUGGUCCUCGGAUCAGCAGUGCCACCUUGGCCGGGGACUCACCAGGAAUAUGUACUCUUGGGCCUCACACCUCAGACCUGCAGAAUCCGAACCUCUGGGCUUGGGGCUCAGCACUGUGCUUUUAACAAGCCGUCCAGGUGUGCCAGCAGGUGACAAAGGUUUGGGAGCCUGCCGAGAAGCAUGUGACAGGGAGCAGUGCCGAGGAGUGAUGCCGCUGCAGGUGCUUUCGCUCUUCCAGGCACGGCGCAGGCCCUCUGCUGCUUGAUUUGGGGUCAGCAGGGACCAGCAAGCAUGAGGCUGAGCUGCGGGACCCCUGUGGAAGGAAAGAAGCACCCCCCCCCCCCCCGUUGUGCCACUGGGACAGGCCCCAGGCAGCACGGCAGGGAGGGCCUAUCCAGGCCCCAGGACUGGUUCCUGGAUUCCACUGCGGAGCAGUCUCCAGCCAAAACACCAUGACUUUUCCCAUCCUGCAGAAGUUGUGCAAGACAGUUAAGCUGAGUCGGCUCAUCUACCAACUGUGCUUGGAGGUACCUCGGAGGUGCCACAGGUUCUGUCCCAGGCCACCAUAAGAACUCGAGUGUCACAAUAAAGCGAGUCC